UGGGGAAUUUUGGACAAUGGGGGCAACCCUGAUCCAGCCAUGCCGCGUGUGUGAAGAAGGCCUUCGGGUUGUAAAGCACUUUCGGACGGAACGAAAUCGCGCGGGCGAAUACCCCGCGUGGAUGACGGUACCGUAAGAAGAAGCACCGGCUAACUACGUGCCAGCAGCCGCGGUAAUACGUAGGGUGCGAGCGUUAAUCGGAAUUACUGGGCGUAAAGUGUGCGCAGGCGGCCGAGCAAGUCGAGUGUGAAAGCCCCGAGCUUAACUUGGGAAUUGCGCUCGAAACUACUUGGCUGGAGUGUGGCAGAGGAGGGUGGAAUUCCACGUGUAGCGGUGAAAUGCGUAGAUAUCGGGAGGAACACCUGUGGCGAAGGCGGCCACCUGGUUGGAUACUGACGCUGAGACGCGAAAGCGUGGGGAGCAAACAGGAUUAGAUACCCUCCUAGUCCCUGAGCGGGCUGGCAAGGCGCAU
rnacentral:rRNA from 1 species